rnacentral:rRNA from 1 species
AACGAGCGCAACCCCUGCCCUUAGUUACCAGCGGGUAAUGCCGGGAACUCUAAGGGGACUGCCUUGGUUAACGAGGAGGAAGGUGGGGACGACGUCAAGUCCUCAUGGCCCUUACAUCCCGGGCUACACACGUGCUACAAUGGCAGGUACAGAGGGCUGCGAAGCCGCGAGGUGGAGCGAAUCCCAGAAAACCUGUCUCAGUCCGGAUUGAAGUCUGCAACUCGACUUCAUGAAGGCGGAAUCGCUAGUAACCGCGAAUCAGCAGGUCGCGGUGAAUACGUUCCCGGGCCUU